UCCACUUAGCUCUCGCCAUCUCAAUCUCGCUCUCGGUCUCACUCGAUACACUCUCCACUCUCAAUCUCACUCGAUACACUCUCGCUCUCACCAUCUCACUCUCACUCUCAAUCUCACUCGAUUUCCUCAGCCUUCUCCAACGGCAAGGCUCAAAUCGAAGUCGCUAUUGGUCCGGUGGUUUACUCUCUCUACGCGCCGAAGCUUAAGACCGCCUUCAGAACUAGGUCAAGCUCGGGAAUUGAUUCAUCUACAGGAAGAAGGUUGAAGAAGUUCAGAGGGUUAAUUGAAUCUAUGCCUUAUCUUCUCCAGCAAAUAUUGUCGUGUCCUGAAUGUGAACACUACUUCUUUGGUCAAACAGAAACCAUUGGUCUUGAAAACUCUGAAACUCGGAGGCAACCUAUUGAGAUUCAGCUAUGUGCAGUUUCUGGGAAGGACUACUAGUUGGCCAGUAACAAAUACCUUUUGCAUUGCAUCCUAUCUUAUGCUCAUAAUGAAGAGGCCUAUGUGAAAUUUGCUAGAUUUGCUCUUGUUUGCUUGCUCGUUGGUCUCAUUGGUUUGGGUAAGUUUAUCAUUCUUUUACUAGUUUCUGGCAUCUUCUUUAAUUAUUUUAUCUCAAACCAAAACUGAACUCAUUUUCCCUUAAUAUUAAGAAUUUAUCUUGGCAU